rnacentral:rRNA from 1 species
GAUGAACGCUGGCGGCGUGCCUAAUACAUGCAAGUCGAGCGAACAGACGAGGAGCUUGCUCCUCUGACGUUAGCGGCGGACGGGUGAGUAACACGUGGAUAACCUACCUAUAAGACUGGGAUCACUUCGGGAAACCGGAGCUAAUACCGGAUAAUAUAUUGAACCGCAUGGUUCAAUAGUGAAAGACGGUUUUGCUGUCACUUAUAGAUGGAUCCGCGCCGCAUUAGCUAGUUGGUAAGGUAACGGCUUACCAAGGCAACGAUGCGUAGCCGACCUGAGAGGGGGAUAGGCCACACUGGAACUGAGACACGGUCCAGACGCCUACGGGAGGCCGCAGUAGGGAAUCUUCCGCAAUGGGCGAAAGCUUGACGGAGCAACGCCGCGUGAGUGAUGAAGGUCUUCGGAGCGUAAAACUCUGUUAUUAGUGAAAAACAAAUGUGUAAGUAACUAUGCACGUCGUGACGGUACCUAAUCAGAAAGCCACGGCUAACUACGUG